rnacentral:rRNA from 1 species
CGAUGCAACGCGAAGAACUACCUGGUCUUGACAUCCCGGAGACCCUUAGGAAACUAGGGGUGCUUCCAUCUGGAAGAAUCUGGAGACAGGUGCUGCAUGGCUGUCGUCAGCUCGUGUCGUGAGAUGUUGGGUUAAGUCCCGCAACGAGCGCAACCCUUGCCUUUAGUUGCCAGCAGUUCGGCUGGGCACUCUAAAGGGACUGCCGGUGUUAAACCGGAGGAAGGUGGGGAUGACGUCAAGUCCUCAUGGCCUUUAUGACCAGGGCUACACACGUACUACAAUGGCCGAUACAAAGGGCAGCGACACUGCGAGGUGAAGCCAAUCCCGUAAAAUCGGUCUCAGUCCGGAUUGGAGUCUGCAACUCGACUCCAUGAAGUUGGAAUCGCUAGUAAUCGUGGAUCAGCAUGCCACGGUGAAUACGUUCCCGGGCCUU